GGUACAAUGAAAGGAAGUGUUGGUUUGUUUUGGAGUGGUGUGAGUGAGAGACCAGUAGUUGACCUUUGACGAAUCUGAAAAUGAUGUGCUGUUAUCUUCCAUGCAUGCUAGGAGAGAAUCAGCUGCAGGCACGCCCACACCUUUCUUGCUUAAAAGGCCAAUGUUUUACCUGUGGUAAUAUUGCUUUUUUUUUUAAAAGAAAGUAAUUAAACAUAUCAUAAUACAGUAGUACUGAUAAUGAGUGUCUACAAGAUUAGAAAAAUCAAAAGUAAAUAAUUAGAAAUGGAGUAGCCCCAUAUUUUUAUUCAAUAAUGAAGACGUUAAUGCUUAUCUACAACCCAUUAUGUUGCAAUAAGUCUAUACUAUGAAUGACCUAUUCUUGGUUGAUUACAACUUAGAAGCAGGAUUACCGCAGAGCAGGUAGGCAGAAUUAUUUGGUGUAAUAAUAUCUGUCUGAGGCGCAUGCAGGGAUGAGUUCCCUCUUCCCUAGUAGCUAGUGUAAUCAAUUAAUUUCAUGCAUGUCCCACGGUGAGGGCCGAGUGAUUAUGGCUUUCUACUUGCAAACUAAAGAGGAAACAUCUUUUUUAACUAAAAAACCAAGAAAAGAAAAGAGAGGAAGCAUCUUAAUGUACAUGUGGAAUUGUUAAUUAAAUAAAAAAAUUUAAAUUCAAUAUUAAAUAAUAUUAAAUUAAACUUUAAUAUGUUUUCUUCUCUCUCCUCUCCCACGUUUCAUUAUCUUCUUCCCCCGCCCUCUCUACCAUAGCUGCCCACCAAGUUCCAACAGGCCACCACGUCUCUAUUUUUUAUUUCAUUCCAAUGAAAAAAAAAAAACCCCUUAUCUUGUUGGAGAAGAAUCAGAGCUUUUAUGUUGGAGCUUUUAAAUUUGAAAGAUUUCAUUUCUAGGUUUAUAUAUUUUGUUAAUGGAGCUCCGAUGUCAAUGCUUUCUCGAUCCCGCUGGCGCAAUACAACCCGUUGGAUGAGUCGAGCCCACUUGUUUUGAAGCUAAGGAAGAGUCCUUCACUUUUGGAUUGAUCCAAAUGCGCCUCUCUCAAUCUCAAAGCAAUGGCUCAGCUGCUUAAGCUGAAAGCUUGAACUCUGGUGUCAAAAAAGGGGAGUAAAGUAAGCCUUAAAUUUCCCAGCUUCGAUUCUUUGAAUCGGCCACUGGGAGACGUUGGAACAAAGGGUAGUGGAUGCAUACGGCUAGGGCCUAAGACAGGAGGGGCGCAUGGACUAAAUGCUGGUGGCGCAAGGGAAGUGGUGGCCUGGAGCUGUGCAAGGCAACAGUAGGUGGUUGUUGGAGUGAACUGUGAAGGUGAUGAAACGGGGUAGAGGAGAGAGAAGGAAACGUAUAAAAAUUUAAUUUAAUAUUGAAUUUAAAUUUUUAUUUAAUUAAUAAUUCCACAUGUUGUAUACGGAUUGGUUGCGGAAUUUUUUUAAUAAAAUAAAAACUUUAACAAUAAA